rnacentral:lncRNA from 1 species
AUGGACUGCGGACGCCGGCUGGGUGGAACGACGUCACCGACGCGGAUGGACAGAUUGGCCGACCACAGGAAGAGACGGUCGAGGGGCCGGGGGCCCAGUAAAGAAGGCGAAACCGAGGCCCGCUCCCCUGCUCCACACAGCUGUGAAUGGCCUGGCUGAUGCUUUGCUGCCCACCAGCUGAGCUGACUGCAGUCUCACUUGUUGGUCUGUGAACUGGGUGUCUUCACCUCCUGGAAGCUCCUCCCAGCUCCUCCAAGCCUCAACUCAGGAUCUCUCUUCUGGAUUCUGCUCCUUUCACCUCCUUCAGGAAGACUUCUCUAAUCCACCCUGCACAAGCGCAGCACCCUCCUCACCUCAAAGGAGCCCCUCAGUUGGCAGUGGCAAGGGGCUGGGUUCUAGGGAAGUUGCCUCUACUAGGAAUUUAUAUAUUCCCGCAUUUGACUCCAGCUUACAUGGUACAACUGGGGAUGUUACAAGUCCUUUGAGAUGCAAUCAGAUUAACAGAGCAGCAAACCUUUCCACUGAGAAAAGGAUUUCUCUUUAAAAAACAAGACUCAGCACAGCUGGGGUCCCCAUUUUGGUAGAUGCCAGUGUUGCUCAGUCGAACAGUGGCAGGAGGGCUGUUUGAGGGAAAACGUUGCUCUGAACAAUCCCUCAGUUUCCUUUGCCCACCAUCCUUGCCCUGUGUGGGUGCCUGCCUGCGGCCCCUCAGAAAGAAAAUGGGCUGCUGGCUCCCAGGGGAGACUCCUCUUUCUCAGGAAGAGGGGUUGACCACAUAAAAAUUUUAAGUUUUAAAUGAAAAAAGGGAGCACGAUGGUCGACAGAAGGGGCCCACAUGGACACCCAACCCAGAACUUGUAGAAUUCUGCAAAAUGGAUGCCUCUGGAGUCAGUUGCCUGUUGUAUACAUUCAGGAAGAAUAAAUCUCGGUGACGUGAGAUAAGCUUGUGUGGCCUUGAGGUCUCCUCUGUGAGUGCCCGUGCCACCUUGCCUUUGUGCGUGCCUGUCAGGGCUCUUUAAGUUGGCAGUUCCUUGAGCAGCUUCUGUUUAGUUUCGUUUGGCAGUCUGGGCCUGGUGAUGGAUUUGCAGACUGGAUGCUCCCUUGACUUGGCUCCAAGCUGAACCUCUCCAGGAAGUCUUNNNNNNNNNNNNNNNNNNNNNGGAAGCUCGGGGAUGGGAUGCCCUCAUGGGACAAAGUGGUGUGAGUGUGAUGACAUGGCUGCACGGUGAUCCGUGGGGAACUGCGUGUGGCCGUGCUGGUGAAUGGGUGGACCUGUCAGUCGGGGUCCCAGCAGAGAAAGAGCACACUCAAACUGGGGAGAGAUUUUAAAAGGGACUCUUUCUUGGACUUUCCUGGUGGUCCUGUGGCUAAGACUCUGAGCACCCAAUGCCGCAGACCCAGGUUCUAUCCCUGGUGGGGGAAACUAGAUCCCACAUGCUGCAAUUAAGGGUUCACACGCCACAACUAAAGAUCCCGCUGCAAUGAAGAUCGAAGGUCCUGGGAGCUGCAACUAAGACCCAGAUCAGCCAAAUAAAUUAAAAAAAAAUUUAUUUAGAGAGACUAUUUCCAAAGUUGUGGGCUGGGCUUAAGAAACUAACAAGGCACUGCAGCUAUCUGUGGGGCUAGCAACAGAAGUCUUUACAACUCCUGGGCCUGAAGGGGUAAAGAGGGGAGAGGGGAGGCAAGGGCUUUGGGAACUGGAGAGUGCAGCUGUGUGGAGAGGGACCCUGACAGGAGCAGUGGCCUUUGGUUGAG